rnacentral:rRNA from 1 species
GAUGAACGCUGGCGGCAUGCCUAAUACAUGCAAGUCGGACGGAAAGAGGUGUUUCUAGUGGCGGACGGGUGAGCAACGGGUGAGAAACUGCCCCUGGGAGGGGAACAAUAACUGGAAGCGGUAACUACUAGCACGCGGGCCUAGUAGCAAAAGGAGGAAUCCGCCCGAGGAGGGGCUAGCGACUGACUGGCUUGCUGGCGAGUUAAUAGCUUACCAAGGUGCUGAUCCGUAGUUGGUCCGAGAGGAUGAUCGGCCACACUGGGACUGAGACACGGAGCAGGCUCCUACGGGAGGCAGGAGUGAGGAAUAUUCCGCAAUGCGCGAAAGCCUGACGAGGCAAUGGCGCGUGGAGGUAGAGGGACCACGGAUCGUGAUCUUCUUUUGUCGGAGAAGAAACAAUGACGGUACCUGAGCAAUAAGCAUCGGCUAACUCUGUG